UGAUUCCACAAGAAUCACCCAAUCCAUAUUUCAGACAGGAAGCUGCAGCAGCACCAACCAUGCUGGUCCCUUUCGUCAGGAUGCAAAACCGUCUUUAGGGCUCAGUCACCACUGCUGGGUUGCUUGGCUACUUGUAGCUGUAAGGGAGGCUGGAAGAAUGGGGAACAGGAUUGCAGCCAUUAGAUUCGACUAGUGCUUCUCAGCUGGAGGUAAUGUUGCCCCAGGGGACAUUUGACCAUCUGGAGACAUUUUUGGUUGUCAGAACUGGCAGAGUGCUACUGGCAUCUAGAAGAAGGUGGAGAUCAGGGAUGCUGUUAAGUGUUCUCCAAUGCACAGGACAACCCAUACCAAAUAAUUACCUGGCCUAAUAUGUCAAUAGUGCUGAGGUUCAGAAGUCCUGGGUUAGACUGAUUGUGAUGCAUUGCCAAGAACUGAGGAUGUUGCUCCCUCAAGUGAAAUAGAGGAUUUUUGUGUAGACUUAGAGCGCUCAACAAGGCAGCAAGUGGACCCAUGGGCGGCAGCCCCACUUUUGUCCAUAUGGUUGCGCCCUGGGCAAAACGACACUAGGUGGGAGGUGAGGAUGCUGGGGGGUCUGCUGGCAGGAAGAUGGAUACAGUGGCAUUUCAGAAAUCCUCUGUAUUCUCUGAAAGGUGUUUGCAUAAAAUGUUAUUAAUCAGUACUUAUCUUUUAUAAUUUAAUUACUGUGUUCAGGUCAUUAAUAUGACCCUUUACAGUCUCUUCCUAAGGCAGCUGAUCCCUAAUUUAUAGCAUGACUCGGAUUCUAGGAUCCAGUGGCCUUUGUUCCUUAGAGUCUUUGUCUUUUCUGAGAUCAUUUUGAAAAGAUAGGUGAACAUCAGGACGAAGAGUGCAAAACUUUGGACAGCUCUUCCUCUAGUUUUCCAUUAGCAUUUGAAAAAUGUCUCUUUCAGGCAGUGUUCAUUAAGAUUUUAAUUUUGCAGUUUGUUCCUUUUUUAAGUGACAUGCAAUUAAUUAAGGUUUAAUGUGUCAUCUAUUUUUUGCUAUGACACUUUUACUGCCCCCUUUUCAUUUUAGUCAGUUUAUAAAUUGUACUCUCGCUAAUGAGUUCCAUCCUGAUAUCCAGUUCCAAAUAAUUACCACUCUUCUAAUAUGGCUAUUCUUUAAUGUGUCACAGAAUUCAGAUCCUUACCAGGCCAGCUCAGGUGAACUGGGUCUGCGGGAGCCAUGAGGCCACUGUGGGCCGGCAGGCCAGGGCAGCGGCUGGGGACCCGGCCUUCCUCAGUUCAGCACAUAUUGAUCAGCCAUCACAUGUGAGACAACUGGGUCUGGGUCUGCAUGGGAUAUACAUGAAGAAGCGUCUGUUGGGCCCAGUCCCCGAGGAGCUCACAGACUAGAUAACUGCCCUAGUUCUCCACGUUGCUUUGCUGGUGGAGAUGGGACUAAUGGGACUUGAAAUCCUCAAUGGUUUCUUUGGUUUUGAAAUGGAGUCUGGCUCUGUUAGUCAGGCUGGAGUGCGGUGGCGCCAUCUCGGUUCACUGCAACCUCCCCCUCCCGGUUGAAGCAAUUCUCCUGCCUCAGCCUCCUGAGUAGUUGGGAUUACUGGUGCCCGUCGCCACGCCAAGCGAAUAUUUUGUGUGUUUUUAGUGGAGAUGGGGUUUCACCAUGUGUUGGCCAGGUUGGUCUCAAACUCCUGACCUCAGGUAAUCUUCCCUCCUCGCCCUCCCAAAGUGCUAGGAUUACAGGUGUGAGCCACUGCGCCUGGCCCCUCAAUGAUUUUUAACAGUAUGUGGGAUUGAGAUUGGACCAGUAUUAAUUGAACAGCAAUUCCAUAUUAAUUUCUAUACUGCAACAUUGAAAUUUAUGCAGAUUUCAUCAAGUUGAGUUGAAGUUUAACUUUGCCAUAUUUAAUAUUUGGGGGCAGUGGGUGGCCUGGGGAGAUUUAUUAAGUGACUAGUGACUAGUGUCAGGGAGACUGUGUAAGGGGACCUGUCAGUCAACCAAUAGGCUGUGGAUAUCAAGAGAUUUAUUUUAAGGAGCUGACUGUGUGGUUGUGGGGAUUGGUGAGUCUGAAAUUGGUGCAGUAGGCUUGAAGGCUGGAAACUCAGGCAGGAGUACGUAGAUGCUGCAGUCUUGAGGAGGAAUUUAUUUUUCUCCAGGAAACCUUGGUCUUUGCUCUGAAGGCCCUCAGCAGAUUGGGGGAGGCCCACCCACAUUAUGGAGGGCAAUCUUGACUUAAAGUCAACUGAUUAUAGAUGUUAACCACAGCUGCAAAAUACCUUCGGGGCAACACUUAGAUCCAUGUCUGAUUAAAUCACUUGGUAUUCUAGCCUAGCCAAGUUGACAUAGAAAACUAAAACUAACCGUCACACCGGGCCUGCCGGGUGGUAGGAAGUAUAUUAGACUGAGGUUAGGACACCCAAGUCUUAGACCCUCUCUCUGUUACUAGCUUGGGGGUCUCAGGCAGGUCCCACAGCCACUGUGACUGCCAUUCAUUUUGCAACAAGCCUUUUUAAAAUUCAUGCCCCCUACCCACCAGGAUGAGAUGUGUUGAGCAAACAAAAAUGAAUUUUUCUAUUCUGGAAAAGCCCACCAUCUGUUAAAGAUAGACAGAGCUCGGCCAGCUAGUCCGCAGUGGGAGAAGCAAAGGACCACCCAUUUCCCACAGUCCAGGACCCACGGCAGUCCUCAGAGUGAGGCCACAGCUGGGGC
rnacentral:lncRNA from 1 species